CUCAACCCUGCUUCCUUUUAGUAUUGCGCUUUCUUUCCUUAUUUCUAAUUGGCUGCUCCUGGUAUGUUUUUGGGGAGGAGAAGGUAGCGACAUUGCCAGGCUACGAUGGUGAACUUCCCUUCCAGAUGUACACUGGGUUUAGGGGAAGAAGGGAAAAAGGGAGCGAGGAAGGAAGAACGGAAGCGGAGAAAGAAGGGAAGAAAGGAAGAAGGGAGGCGGGGGAAGAAGGGAAAAGAGAGGCGGAGGAAAAAGGAAAUGAGGGAGGAGGAAAAAGGGAGGCGGAGGAGGGAGGAGGAAGAACUCUAGGAAAUGAAUCACCGGACUCUCGCCCAUGCUUUCUCCAAUUGGUGAAGGUGUUGUUUGUGGUGAGGCCGCUGUGAGGCCCGCUCAGCAUCACAGUGUACAUCACGAGAUUGAGAUCUACAGGCGAAUGAAAACGAUAAACAAAUCAACGGCAAACCAAGUUGGGGGAGAGACCGAAAUAGGAGAGGCCAUAUAUACUUAACAUUUGGCAUUCCCUCAGUAUAUAUUUGUGUUGCUUACCAGAAUCGGCGUACGGCUGAACAUUUCCGGUUGCUGGCAAGUCCUGUAACGCAUCUGCCAUCGAUAUGGGGAUCCUGAAAUUCAGAUUCAAUGCGUUCUCUUUAUCAACCUUCACAAGACCAGAGUUUCAGAAUAUUUAGAAUAUAGAGACAGACAGAGAGAAAGAGAGAGAGAACCUGUUUUCCAACUGUGUCAUGAAUGACUGGUCCUGGGCAUCACCAGUUAAGAGAAGGCAAGGGAGGGAGAGGGAGGAAGAAGGUGAGGAAGAAGGCGAGCGAGAGAGAGAGAGGAAGAAGGCGAGCCCCAAUGGGUAAAAAAAGAAAAAACCGGAAAAAAUUUUCGUGCUCUCAGUUGGAAUAAUAUUUUCGGAAUUUUUUUUUGCAUUUUGAGCCCCAACGGUCAAAAAAAAAUUUCAUAUUUGAUGAAACUGGAAAAAUUUUGAAAAUUUAAAAUAAAUUUCUUGUGUUACACUAAAACUCCAGCCUUGUUUGUACAGUGAGUACUAAUGACAUACAAUUGCAAUGAGUCUUCAUCUUUUUGGUAUGGUGAGUACUGAUGACAUACAAUUGAGUCUUGACCUUUCCAGACAGUCCUGACCUGUUUGGUAUGGUGAGUACUGAUGACAUACAAAUGAGUCUUGACCGACUACCUAGAAGAGGGUGGGGGCUUCGGCUCUUUUCUUGAAAAGUAGGUGUUAUGGUGAUAUAAGAAGUUUUCAUGUUGUCUUUUCAUAAUGGCAAUUUGGAACUACGCCUACGCUGUGGUUUCUUGUCUCCUUUAGGGCUCAUUUGAUGGGUAGAAAAUCUAUUGUAGCAGAGGAAAUUUAUUUCAAAUUUAAAAAAAAAAAAUCAAUUCAUCAAACAUGGAAAAAAAUUUGGACCGUUGGAGGUGAUUUUGGAAAUAUAUUUCUGAAAAAAUUUUUAUAGCCAGAGGGGUGGAAAAAUUUUUCCGAAAAGUUUUUUAGACCGUUGGAAGAAGAAUAGAGGGGAAGGAAGAAGAAGGGAAGAAGGGAGCAGGAAGGAAGAGGGGAAGAAGGAAGAAGGGAAGGAGGGAGGAAAGAAGAAGGGAAGGAGGGAAGGAGAAGAGGGGAAGAAGGGAAGGAGAAGAGGGGAAGAGGGCACACGAGAAGGGAAGGAGAAGAGGGGGAAAAGGGGAAGAGGGCACCACGAGGAAGGAGAAAGGAGAAGAGGGGAAGAAGGGGAAGAGAGGAAGAAGGGAAGGAGAAGAGGGGAAGAGAGGAAGAAGGGGAAGAGGGCACAGCAAGGAGGGAAGGAGAAGAGGGGAAAAGGGUUUCAGCAGACAGUUUCUUUCUCCUCCUCCUUCUUCCUCCUCUUUUCUUCUCUUCCCUCAUCCCUCCUCCUUCCUUCCCUUCCUCCUCAUCCCUCCCUUUCCUUCCCUUCUUCCUCCUCCUCCCUGGCUCUCUUCUUCUUCCUCCCUCCUUCUUCCCUUCUUCCUCACCAUUUCCACCAAACUAAGAUUUUUUUUUUUCAGAAAAAUAUUUUCUUUAUAACAAAUCAGAAGUUGGUUUUAGAAAACUAAAAAGUAUUAAUUCCAAAAAUUUAUUUCUGAUUUUUUUUUUCAGAAAUAUAUUUCUAACCAUCAAACGGCCCCUUAAAGAAAGGGGUUAAUUGACUUGGUUUCAAUAUUUUAUCUCUUGCUUUGUCUUCAAAUAGGUACAUAACCGUGAACGAGACAACUUCAAACAACUUAUUACUUCAUCAAAUCAGAAAGGAACGCAACAGAGGAUCCUCUCAUACUCUGGUUAACAGGAGGACCUGGCUGCUCUGGCUUUAGUGGCCUUGUUGUCGAGAUUGGUCCUUUGAAAUUUAAGGUAGAAGAGU